rnacentral:sRNA from 1 species
CACAAUUGAAUAGGCUCCUCAAGGGUGAUCGGCUCAUCCCCUGUAGAAAGGGGGUGUUGCCAUGUCUGCACAUGAAGUCAUUUCGCUCAUGCUCCAGUUUGGGCUGUUUUUGAUCGCAGCUCUUACUUUAGUCGUGACGAUCAUGAAGCAUAUGUUAGACAACCAAAAUAAAAAGAAAUAGAUCGCCCUUAGAGUUUGGCAGCUCGGGCGAUCUAUUUCGUCUAACAAAACCAUAUUGAGCCGACACCCUUGAAGGGUAUCAGUUGUGCAACGACCGUAGGUGUUCCCGCACCUGCG